UGCUAGUUGUACGAGUUCGUACUCGUAGCGAAUAGCUCAGUAACACGUGGCCAAACUACCCUUCGGAGCACGAUACCCUCGGGAAACUGAGGCUAAUAGUGCAUACCACACUCCAGCUGGAAUGAGGAGUGUGCCAAACGCUCCGGCGCCGAAGGAUGUGGCUGCGGCCGAUUAGGUAGACGGUGGGGUAACGGCCCACCGUGCCAAUAAUCGGUACGGGUCAUGAGAGUGAGAACCCGGAGACGGAAUCUGAGACAAGAUUCCGGGCCCUACGGGGCGCAGCAGGCGCGAAACCUUUACACUGCACGACAGUGCGAUAAGGGGAUCCCAAGUGCGUAGGCAUAGAGCCUACGCUUUUGUCCACCGUAGGGAGGUGGACGAAUAAGGGCUGGGCAAGACCGGUGCCAGCCGCCGCGGUAAUACCGGCAGCCCGAGUGAUGGCCGAUCUUAUUGGGCCUAAAGCGUCCGUAGCUGGCCGCACAAGUCCAUCGGGAAAUCCACCCGCUCAACGGGUGGACGUCCGGUGGAAACUGUACGGCUUGGGACCGGAAGGCGCGACGGGUACGUCCGGGGUAGGAGUGAAAUCCCAUAAUCCUGGACGGACCGCCGAUGGCGAAAGCACGUCGCGAGAACGGAUCCGACAGUGAGGGACGAAAGCCAGGGUCUCGAACCGGAUUAGAUACCCGGGUAGUCCUGGCCGUAAACAAUGCCUGCUAGGUGUGGCUCCCACUACGAGUGGGUGCUGUGC
rnacentral:rRNA from 1 species